rnacentral:misc_RNA from 1 species
GCGAGCUUUACAACCGAUUUUCAAGAAUUAUGGCCAGAGUCGAGCAUUCUCAGGCCUCAUUGUCACUCUUAAGGUGUUUGAAGACAAUGUGAUAGUGAGGGAGCUUCUUGAAACUAAAGGUGAAGGAAGAGUUCUAGUUAUAGAUGGUGGGGGAAGCAUGAGAUGUGCUUUGGUUGGAGGAAAUCUGGGACAAUUGGCUCAAAAUAUGGGAUGGGC